rnacentral:rRNA from 1 species
AACGUAGGGGACAAGCGUUAAUCGGAAUUACUGGGCGUAAAGCGUGCGCAGGCGGUUCGUCGUGUCCGAUGUGAAAGCCCCGGGCUCAACCUGGGAAUGGCAUUGGAAACUGGCGGACUCGAGUGUGGCAGAGGGGGGUGGAAUUCCGCGUGUAGCAGUGAAAUGCGUAGAGAUGCGGAGGAACACCGAUGGCGAAGGCAGCCCCCUGGGCUAACACUGACGCUCAGGCACGAAAGCGUGGGGAGCAAACAGG